rnacentral:sRNA from 1 species
GGCUGCUGCUUCCACUUGCCACGGGUGCACCGGCUGCUGAUGCUGAUGUGGCAGUGGCAGUUGCUGUGGCUGUGGCAGUGGCAGUC